AAUACCCUGCUGUACUUGUGAUGUUGCGCUUUCAGUUUUGGGCCAACACCUUUUUUUCGGGUUCUGUUUCUGCAUAAGUGACGCGAUAGGCUUGAGCCAAGGCGGAGCUAAUGAGUAGGGACCCAACCUGCGAAAGCAGGUUCAAAACUUUGCAACACACGGCAUGGCGGGGCUUUU
rnacentral:other from 1 species